ACUCAAAUGAAUAGACGGGGGCCCGCACAAGCAGCGGAGCGUGUGGUUUAAUUCGAUGCUACGCGAAGAACCUUACCCGGGUUUGACAUACAGGUGGUAGGGAAUUGAAAGAGGACCGACCCUUCGGGGAGCCUGAACAGGUGCUGCAUGGCUGUCGUCAGCUCGUGUCGUGAGAUGUCCGGUUAAGUCCGGUAACGAGCGCAACCCCUGCCGUAUGUUACAAGUGUCAUACGGGACUGCCGGUAUCAAGCCGGAGGAAGGUGGGGAUGACGUCAAGUCAGCAUGGCCUUUAUGUCCGGGGCUACACACACGCUACAAUGGUCAGUACAAUAGGUUGCAAAGCCGCGAGGUGGAGCCAAUCCAUAAAGCUGGCCUCAGUUCAGAUUGCAGGCUGCAACUCGCCUGCAUGAAGUUGGAGUUGCUAGUAACCGCGCGUCAGCAUUAGUGCGGUGAAUACGUUCCCGGGCCUUGUACACACCGCCCGU
rnacentral:rRNA from 1 species